rnacentral:misc_RNA from 1 species
UUUCCGUAGGUGAACCCGCGGAAGGAUCAUUAAAGAGAAUAUGCCCUUCGGGGUAGAUCUCCCACCCUUUGUUUAUAUUACCUUUGUUGCUUUGGCAGGCCCGUCUUCGGACCACCGGCUUCGGCUGGUCAGUGCUUGCCAGAGGACCCAAAACUCUUAUUAUUAAUGUCGUCUGAGUACUAUAUAAUAGUUAAAACUUUCAACAACGGAUCUCUUGGUUCUG